UUGACCUCAAAUCAGGUAGGAGUACCCGCUGAACUUAAGCAUAUCAAUAAGCGG
rnacentral:rRNA from 2 species